UGACUUCGGUUUAACGGCCGCGGUAUCCUGACCGUGCAAAGGUAGCAUAAUCAUUUGUUCUCUAAAUAAGGACUUGUAUGAAUGGCUCCACGAGGGUUUUGCUGUCUCUUACUUUCAAUCAGUGAAAUUGACAUUCCCGUGAAGAGGCGGGAAUAAAAAAAUAAGACGAGAAGACCCUAUGGAGCUUUAACUAACAAACUCAUUAAAACUCGUUUACCCUCUACAAGAAACAAACCACUUUUAACUGAGUUAACAGUUUAGGUUGGGGUGACCUCGGAACAAAAAUCAACCUCCGAGAAAAAUUAUUAAGACUCACAAGGCAAAAUUACAAUAUUAUAUUGACCCGCCAUUGGCGAUCAACGAAACAAGUUACCCUAGGGAUAACAGCGCAAUCCUAUUUAAGAGUUCAUAUCGACAAUUUAGGGUUUACGACCUCGAUGUUGGAUCAGGACAUCCCAGUGGUGCAGCAGCUAUUAAUGUGUUCGUUUGUUCAACGAUUAAAGUCCUACGUGAUCUGAGU
rnacentral:rRNA from 1 species